rnacentral:lncRNA from 1 species
GAGAGUAACAUGAGUAAAAUGCCAACUAUAAGGAUACGUUUCCAGGCAGCAUAUGGUCACAGCUCAAAAAUGAACUUUUUUUAAAGCUUACUACUGCAAAUUAUUUUAGAAGCAGAGACAGUUAAAAAUCAUACCAAGGAAGAGAACACACACACGUACACACACACACAACUCUAGGGAAGAGAAAUUAUAAAACAAUGGAUGUAGAUUAUAAUAAUUUUUUAGGCACAGCUUCAAAACUGUCACAAUUGUGACAUCAGUUUUUGAUACCAUUCAGCCAAGCAACAACUACUUUAACAUAGAAGUGAGUAUCAAAUUAGGAAUAGGCGUGUGGCUACAUCCAUCACCAAGACAACAGGUGUAGUUUUAUAUGGUGAACACGUAUUUCAAUAGUGUUGAAAAUAGACUGCACCUUAUACGUGGUAUUUCCCACUAUGCAGAAGGCCUGCUUUCUGUUCCUAGGGCCCUGCAUGGAGAAUUCAGGGAUUCCCUGGAACUAAUACUAUUUUCCCCAGCGACUUCAUUUCAGUCUUUCCUUUUAGGUAGCCUGGCCCGGGUCAGAAAUUCUCUGACAGUUGGUACAAGAGAACGAGUGUGCCAGUGUGAACGCUGCAGGGGAUGUGUUGUUGCCAACUGAUGGAGUGUACUUCCAUAUGCAGAGCUAAAAUAGACUUGGAUGGUUGAGAAGAUAGAGACUGCUCUUUAAGUGCCAGUACGGGAAACACUUGGUUACCUGUCUUCUGGGGCCGACUUAUCUGAAAGAAUGAGGUUUCUGAUAGCUAACACCUCAGCAUUACAAUUCUGUUUUCCAUAAACUUCUGUGCAGAAAUCUGGGGAAUUCAAAAGAACUGGGGAGUGCUGAUCUCCCUGGAGUCUGAAGCCUGGAGAAACCAUCCAGAAGGCUGAAGCUAUUCAUCUCAAAGGAGCAGAUGUUGUCCCUCCCCAAGGAGUUAUUAUGGGUUGGAAGAAAUGAGAAAAUGAAUAUAAACAAGUUAUUCUGUGAAUGUUAUCAAAUAUGAUCAGCACCAACCAAAUAGAGCUCUAAAUGAGUGCCAUAAUCUUUCACCUGGGUUCCUUAGCUCUUGUGAAGGUAUCUUCAUGCAUGGAUGGUAGUUCAAACUGAUGUUUCUUUGAAAGACUCUGGCCUUGUCAAAAGAAGGACGUAAGAAGGCACGAUGUAUUAUACUUGGGAAUGAUAGAAGAGACUGACCUGGUAUUUCCACCC